AGCCCUGUGGUGAAUUUACACGUUGAAUUGCAAAUUCAGAGAAGCAGCUUCAAUUCUGCCGGGGCUU
rnacentral:tRNA from 8 species